GGGUGCGAUCAUACCAGCACUAAUGCACCGGAUCCCAUCAGAACUCCGAAGUUAAGCGUGCUUGGGCGAGAGUAGUACUAGGAUGGGUGACCCCCUGGGAAGUCCUCGUGUUGCACCC
rnacentral:rRNA from 1 species